UUGGCGAACGAGUGACGGGAAGCGAAAUCAAUAUGGCGGCAGCGACGAGCGUUAGCAUAACCGAAGUGGAUUAUUUACUUAGUUGUAUAUUUUCUUCUAUAUCUUUGGACGAAAAGGUUAAGAGACUGGGACCACAUCAUCGAAACGAUGUUCAAAUAACACAAACGACAGAAUCGUAAAGUUUGUGUUAUGUGGUUUCAACGAAAGGACUAGCUAACGGAAAGCAGGAAUUCACUUUACUGUGUCCCAUGCCUGCUUUUUGGAGGAGACACAGCUUGAAUUCAACAAGGAAUUGUGGAUUUGAAGCAUUUAUCUGACAAAAUUAGGAAACACGAAUGAAGCACAAGUCACAUUGGAAAUAGGGUAAAGUUAACAUCGCCUGCCACCUGGAUGAAGGACGCCGCAUUGCUUUAGACUCUAAAGCACUUGGUGUCGUUUGACUUCAACGACAGGGUGAUUAACAUGUUUGCAUCCCAGAAAACUCGAUGUUGUGAUCUUCACUUUAAAUAAGUGGCUGUUUGAGAUUGAAAAACUCCACUGUGCAUGGGGAGGAACUACUGAGGAGUGGAGGAGAGACAGUGUUUCGCAGCUUGGGCUGAUGGAUCCAGGUAAAAGUCUCAUCGAGAUUUAAUUUUCCAAGAGAGACCUGGCCGUCAUGGAAGCAAAGGUUACAACAAAUACAACAUACCAACAGAAGAAGCGAGCACAAUUUAAAGCAAAAGUACGUUUCCAGUUUUACUGGGAAACUUGUGAGUAUUUUUCAAAGAUCAACCCCACACUGCUCUCAGGGACUAUUUGUGUAGUUGUGGAAAAGUUGUGACACUGAACUGGUAACAUUUACAACUGAUCCUGAUAAUUAUUGUCACUAAUGUUUAUAUUGCUAUUUUGAAUAAUCUCAUCAAUGUUUAUAAAGCAUGCUUUUAUCCUAUGUUUCUUUUACUCUUACUGCAUUGUGGGUUUCAAAUGAUAAAGCCUUCCCUGUCUGCUUAGACUUGAAUCUGCUGUAGUCACUGUUUUAUCUGUAGGGUAGGUGUGCAGAGAACUUAAUGUGUGCCCAGCCUAACCCUCCUUUACCUUUUUGUGCUCCCAAAUCCAUACGCUGGUAACACUUACAUCUCUUUUAAAAACCUGCAGCCGACUCCUUGGACCUGGGGAGCGUUUCGUGUCAACACGUCUAAGAAAAGAGACAGUGCAAUGCUGCAGUGUUUCAUUCUUCACUGUAUUCACUUGCUUCUUUCUUCAAAAUGUUGGUAUCGCAGUCUCUGUUGCUUGUUGAAGUAUUUUGUGCAUGAAUGCUGACAGAUUUUGGUACCUGCUCAAAGAAGCUUUCAACAUGGUUUUUGCUCUUUGUUCUGUUGGCCACAAACUUAUUGAGUAACAUAGUUGGUUUAAAA